rnacentral:snRNA from 1 species
UAUGCGUUUUCUUUACCU